rnacentral:rRNA from 1 species
CGCCUGCCCAGUGACUUCAGUUUAACGGCCGCGGUAUCCUGACCGUGCAAAGGUAGCAUAAUCAUUUGUUCUCUAAAUAAGGACUUGUAUGAAUGGCUCCACGAGGGUUUUGCUGUCUCUUAUUUUCAAUCAGUGAAAUUGACAUUCCCGUGAAGAGGCGGGAAUAAAAAAAUAAGACGAGAAGACCCUAUGGAGCUUUAACUAAUUAACUCAUAAACCCUUAUUCAUUCUCUAUAAGAAAUAAGCCACUUUUAAUUGAGUUAACAGUUUAGGUUGGGGUGACCUCGGAAUAAAAAUUAACUUCCGAGAAAAACUAUUGAGACCCACAAGUCAAAAUUAAUAUACUACACACUGAUCCGCCAUUGACGAUCAACGAAACAAGUUACCCUAGGGAUAACAGCGCAAUCCUAUUUAAGAGUUCAUAUCGACAAUUAGGGUUUACGACCUCGAUGUUGGAUCAGGACAUCCCAAUGGUGCAGCAGCUAUUAAUGCGUUCGUUU